CCAGCUUCAGUGAUAGAGUGAGACCCUAUCUCAAAAUAAUAAUAAUAAUAAUAAUUUGAUUUUUUGUUUAAUUGCUCAACUGUUCCUGUAUGUGAUCAUGAGGUAUCAGUUACCCUGCUAAAUUGAUACCUCCCUCUUUAAUAUGACAGGAGGAAUACAGAGGAUGUAAGGAAGAAUACGACACUUGGAUUCUGUGAGUUAAGUUGGGAACUUCCAUCCCCUAAUCCUAUGAAGGUCAAAGGUGAAACUCUACUAGGGCUUAAAAACCAGCUUCAGGAGACUAGCUGUAUUCCUGAAGACAUCUAGUAAGACUCCAUUGUAUACGUGUCCUACUCUGGAGUGUUUUUCACUGUGAUAUGCAAUAGAUGCAAAUAAAGACUUGGAAAAUGUACCCUCCCAUAUCCACGUUGCUUUCUUCACUACUUCCCUCUGGUCCUCUAAUGUGGUUAAUCCUCCAGCACUCUGUGCUUGCCUGGGAGCUCUGACUGGGACCUGGUAGGCUCAGGUUUGACCAGUGAGAAAAAACCCUAUGCUCCUUGCCUUUUUUACUCAAUGCAAUUUGCAUUUUAUUCAAUGACUAGUGUACUUAUCUUUGAAGAGUUGUGGAUAACUAUUAGAGGGGCAUAGGGGAAAAAAACUACAGCUGCAACAUCAAAGGGAGAAGAGAGAUUUAUCCUGAACCUUGCACUACAAAAGGCUUUUCCGUAGGACUUUAAAGAGUAAAACUAUCUCAGUCUCUCUCUGUGUGUGUCUCUCUCCUCCUAUUCCAGUCCCCUCUUUCCCCUGUUCCCUUCUCCAUCCCCCUCACUUGAUUGUUGACUAUCAAGCCUGCAUUUGGCAUGCCUUAUACAGCUCCUAAAGUGGAGCAUGAUACAUUACAGUAUCAAUUUAAGGUAAAUAGAAUAUAGAUAAUUUGUCUCACUUGACAGAAGGAAAAUAAAUAUCAGCUAGACUCCAUCCAUACUCCAAAAAACCCAUAAUGUGUCAGGUUACAUUCUCUUCAAGAGGAGCUAUUCUGAGCUCCUUUUUUUUGGAUGCUAUUCAUUUGAUAUAAUCAUAUUGAACUAUUGGAUAUUGACCUCACUGAAGUGAAAUUGGUCACCUCUACAUAUUGAUUAUUAACUCCCAGGAGUCUUAAAAGUUCAAUGCUUGAUGCUUUCUAUUCAGCUGAGAUGAAUUAUUGCCUGCAUUUGCUGUUUUUAUUUGAGAGAUAAAUUUAAAAGUGGCGCUUUUAUAAUCAAACAAAACUGUUUGUGGUUUCUAAUCUCUACACAGUAAUAACUUGUUUUAUUACAUGCUGGUUUUUUAUUGAACUCUGGUUUCUUAUCCUGGCCAGGCAUUGUUGGAGGUUUUGUGGGGUUUUUUAAAUUUUUAAUUUUGGGCAUUUAAGGAUUCUUCUGUGUUGUCAGUUAUUUUAGAUUAAAAUGCAAAAUGCUAUGAAAGGAGUUUCAAUCAACUUUAUCAGAUAAAAAACUUAAAUGUGAGUUAUGUUCACAGGCAUUUAUCCAUGCCUCAAUGUAUUCAUCAAGCAUUAAGGAAAUAACUUUCCAUAUUUUGUUCUACUGUGUUUGCAUAUUAUUUGUUUAUAAGACUCUUGAUAUUUUUUAAAAUGUAGUCAAGAAUAAAAUAUUAUUUUCCACUUUAAUAGUUCUCUCUGGGACGCAUGAACCAGAGCGACUCCAUCUUCAAUGGUAACUGAGUAAAAUGAGGCUGAGACCUGCUGGGCUGCAUUCCCAGAUGGUUAAAGCAUUCUAAGUCACAGGGUGAGAUAGGAAGUCAGCACAAAAUACGGGUCAUAAAGACCUUGCUGAUAAAACAGGUUGCAGUAAAGAAGCUGGCCAAAUCCAACAAAACCAAGAUGGCGAUGAGAGUAACCUCUGGUCGUCCUCACUGCUACCCUCCCAUCAGCGCCAUGACAGCUUAGAAAUGCCAUGGCAAUGUCAGGAAGUUACCCUAUAUGGUCUAGAAAGGAGAGGAAUGAAUAAUCCACCGCUUGUUUAGCAUAUCAUCAAGAAAUAACCAUAAAAAUGGGCAAACAGCAGCCCUUGGGGCUGUUCUGUCUGUGGAGUAGCCAUUGUUUUAUUCCUUUACUUUCCUAAUAAACUUCCUUUAACUUUACUCUGUGGACUCGCCCUGAAUUCUUUCUUGUGUGAGAUCCAAGAAUUCUCUCUUAGGGUCUGGAUCGCGACCCCUUUCCUGUAACAGUUCAUUUUUAAAUAAUCUUAUUUGGUGUUGUUUGGUUUUGAGACGGAGUCCCGCUCUGUUGCCCAGGCUGGAGUGCGGUGGUGCGAUCUCGGCUCACUGCAACCUUUGCCUCCCAGGUUCAAGCGAUUCUCUUGCCUCGGUCUCCCGAGUACCUGGGGUUACAGGCACACACUACCAUGCCCAGCUAAUUUUUUUGUGUUUUUAGUAGAGAUGGGGUUUUGCCAUGUUGGCCAGACUGGUCCCAAACCCGUGACCUCAGGUGAUCCGCUCACCUCAGCCUCCCAAAGUCCUGGGAUUACAAGCAUGAGCCACCAUACCCGGCCUAAAUAAUCUCAUUUGGAACAUAUACAAUACUGUCAUUGUCAAAAUGCACAUACUUUAUAUUCUCUAUCCAAUUAGGUAGUGUCUAUUUGGAAAUUAAAUUAUUGAAGUUUUGGGGUUUUUUUGUGACAGGUUAAUGAAUAAGUACAGUGGCUUUUGGGUGUUUCUUUUUCUUUUCCUGGUGACAGCUGAUUUUGUCUUUACUAUUUGUAUUCGUUUGCUUUGGCUGCCAUAACCAAGUACCACAAACGGCAUGGUUUAAAAGCAGAAAUUCAUUGUCUCAUGUUCUAGAGGCCGGAAGUCCCAGAUCAAGGUGUCAGCAGGAUUGGUUUUUUCUGAGGGCAGUUAGGGAAGGGUUUGUCUAAGGCCUCUCUCCUUGGCUCUUUUACCCCUGUGCUGCUUCACAUCAUCAUCUCUCUAGGUAUCUCUGUCUCUGUGUCCAAAGCUCCCCAUUUCACAAGGAUAUCAGUUAUCCGGGGUGAGGGCCCACCCUAAUGACUGCAUUUUAACUUGAUUAUCUCUUUAAAAACGCUGUCUCCAAAUAUGACCAUUGAGGACUAAGCUCUGGUUUUUUUAUCUUGCCAAAAUUCGUAUCUAGAGAGUUGGGGAGUCAUGCCCUACUAACCAUAAAUUCUUAUCAGAUGGGUUUUAUUUAACCCUACAUAUCCUGACUUACUUUCCAAUCUGACUCUGGCAUAACAUUAUGUGACAAAGAAGAAAAUAAAAAUCGUUUACCCCAAAACAUGUUUCUUUGCUAUAUUUUGAAAUGGCCCUGCACAGCCAUCCUUUGUGGGUGAAAAUGCGCAUCUGUAAAGAAUCUCUGCUAGCAUAGCUAGAUCUUUUUCUUUCACCACCCUCCCAAUCCUGAGGAGAUGAACUGAGUGUCUAGCACCUUGUAUAGGUCUGAAUAGGGAACAUUUGUCAUCUGUUGUCUCUAAGGACAGCCAGUAUGACACUUCAAGAAUCUUGGUCUCCACAAUCUUUUAUCUUAACCUGAGCAUUUCCUUUCUAUUAAUCCCAGGUCUUAGACAAACUCAACCAAUUGUCAACCAGAAAAUGUUUAAAUUUACCUAAAGCCUAGAAGACCCAGCUUCGAAUUGUUCGAAGUUGAACAAUUGAAUUGAAGUUGAAUUGUUGAACCGCCUUUGGACCAAACCAGUAUAUUUCUCAAAUGUAUUUGAUUGAUGUCUCAUGCCUCCCUAAAAUGCAUGAAACCAAGCUGCGCCCCAACCACCUUGGACAUAUGUUCUCAGGACCUCCUGGGGGCUGUGUCACGACCGUGGUCACUCAUAUUUAGCUCAGAAUAAAUCUCUCCAAAUAUUUUACAGAGUUUCUCCUCUUUUUGUUAGGAGGUUAGGACUUCAACAAAAAAGUAUUUGGUAAAUUUGCCAUAUAAAAUAACUAAAACUUCAAUGAUAAUUUACUCAGUCUCCAUAUAAACAACAUCAAUCAAAAGUAUGUGCGUGUCAAAGGUGAUAGAAUUGUCUGUCUUCCCAAUGAGAUGAUUUACAAAUUAACCAUUAUAGUGGAAAACAGUAUUUCCUGGGCUAUUUUUUAAUACCAUGAACCUUAUAAACACAUAUGAAAUAAUAUACAAACACAAUAGAAUGAAAUAUUUAUUGUUACUCAAAUGCCCAGAAACGGCAUUGAGUUGUUUAUGAAUUUGUUCCUUCAUUUUCCUCUCUUCAUCUGUAGCCUCUACACCUUCACAGGGAGACACGUUCUGUUUAUGAGCCAGUGUGUUUAAAUGGCUCUCCAAGUCUUGAUCCACACCCCUACCACAACACACACACACACACACACACACCACACACCCAUUCCUCUCUUAAGGCUUGGGUUUCAACAUCAUGUUAUUCUCCAGAAAUGCACAUUUACCACUGUUUCAUUGUAAGGAAUGGCAGAGGGGUCUGUUAUUGUUAAUCUUUUAAGAAUGGACCCUGUUAAAACAAAAGCUGCUUUGAAUUCGAAGAUGCGUUAGGAAUGAAAGGUACCUAACAAACCACCUCUUUGUCCUAUUUGGUAGAGAAUUCAUGAAGGGAGGGUUCCACAGAGCACCAACCCCUAUUGUGUCCUUCACUCAUAAGGAGGGCAUGUGCGGUGUGGAGGGUCUGUGUCAUGUGAUGGGACCCCCUCCAGUAGGUGUGGAUCCUGGGACCUGUGUGGUCCUGUGUAAUGGCUCUUGGAGUUUUGUUACAGGAAAGGGGUCCCGAUCCAGACCCCAAGAGAGGGUUCUUGGAUUUUGCACAAGAAAGAUCCAGGGUGAGUCUGCAGGGCAAAGUAAAAGUAAGUUUAUUAAGAAAGUAAAGUGGUGAAAGAACAGCUACUCCAGAGACAGAGUAGGUGUUCCCGAAAGUAAGAGGAGGAACGCAUGUCCACCCUAGGUAACAUGCAUGCAUGUGUGUGUGUGUGUGUGUGUGUGUGUGUGUGUGUGUAUGAAUGAUUUUAAAAGACCAUGGAGAGAUGUGUUCUGCUACAAGGGUUUCUGAUAAAGGAUUAAUUUUCUUAAUUACUAUAUUUUGCAAGAAUCAAUAUUAUCUUUAAAGCAAAAUUAGGAAUGCCUUUGUUUUCCAGAUAUCGGGAUAUCAGGACACUCCCAAGUCUGGGUCUGUUUAGUCAACAUUAUCAGUCUGUUCCCGUAACUAUAAGCAUUUAGAGGCUAGGAAUGCCUAGCUGCCUGGGAGUGCAGCCCAGCAGGUCCCAGCCUCAUUUUCCUAGCCCUCACUCAAGAUGGAGUCACUCUGGUUCGAACGCCUCUGAGGGUUUUGCCCUAUAGAGUGUGGAGUCAGAGAUUCCCUGUCCCAUCUUGGGACUCUGGUCACCACAUCUACAGCCUUCAUGAUUUUUGUCUCAUUUUUCCUACCUUGUCCCAGGAGAUCUAUGGAUUGGUGGGUAGCAUCAAGAGGCACAGAAUUCUCUUCUCAUGUAGUUAAAGCUGGCUUGCUUUCUCAGCAUGCCAAGAGAGGUAUCAAAGAUGGAGUGCUUAUUUUCAUAGGAUGCACCAUGCUGUAAAGACACAGUGACUCUUCCGUGAAACACUAAGGAAAAAAGAAGGGGAAAUAAGGAAUAUAGGACUUGUUAGAGGAAAAAGGCUCCAGGUAGAGAUGGAUUGAUUUUUAUUAUAAAUUUGAACUUUUUAAAAUCAAAAUAACAUUUUUAAAAAACAUACAGCACAUAUAUAUGGCAUAUACAUAGGACUUGUUCUUAGAUUACUCAUCUUAGAGGUGGCUUCUAGUGUCAGUUUUCUCAUGGCAAAUGACCUCAUCCCACCCACCUCAGCUUCCCCAUCUGCACAGCUCAAGUUUCAAACUAGAUCAUCUCUGAGGGUCGUCCCAGCAAUGAUUUCUAAUCCUCAGUUCUUUAUUUUUCUAGGAAACAUAUUUUAUUGACAUCAAUUCAUUAUUUUUUUAAUUCAAUUUAAUUCUUAAAUUUGCCUCCCAUCUGGAUUUGCUUUAUCGAUUUUUUUAAGGCAAUAGAAGACAAUGAUGACCCUGAAUACAAAUUGUUACGGGAAAAUGGAUCCAAGAUAAAAUUACCAGAUCAACCUUUUUAUUCCAUAUUUUAUGGAAUAUCUAAUGGAUGUUUGGCAGUAACUUAUUCUUACACACGAAUUCCUGACAGUUUCGAUUCUUCAGACUUAUUAAUCAGUGUAGUCAGCACCAGAGCAAUUUUAUGAGACUUAACAGUCAUCAAAAAUUUAUUAUCAGAUAAAUCAGAGAAACAACGAGCAUCUUAAUAGGUUAGAGAAAGUGGCAUGUAAAGGAUCAUUUAAGAUGGUGCUUUUUGUCAGUUGUGCGUUAUAUUUACAACCAAUAUCUAAGAACUUACUCAUAAUUUCAUGCAAAUAGUCAGCAGGGUGAUAGUUGCUGUCUUAGGUCAACCUUUUCUCUUUGUUUUUCUCCAGCAGAAUGUUGUGUUUGGUGUAACUAUAAGGCUAAGACUGCUAAAUAGACACACAAUAGGAAGCAUCAUUUCCCAAUGUUAAGCCUAUAGCAUUUAUUUUAAUGCAGUAUCUCCAUUUUCUUCUGGAUUUUAUUAGAGUUGUCAUCCAAAAUUAAGAGUUACUGAGCUCAGCCCUUUCCCUUGGGAACAAGGUGCUAAACUUGAGCUCUUUGUUUUGUUUUGUUGUUUCAUUUUUUCCUGACAUAGUUUGGAUAUCUGUCCGCACCCAAAUCUCAUGUUGAAAUGCAAUCCCCAGCAUUGGAGGUGAGGCCUGGUGGGAGGUGUUUGGAUCAGAAGGGAGAUCCCUCAUGAAUGGCUUUUGCCGUCCUCUUGGUGAUGAGUGAGCUCUUGCUCUGAGUUCACACAAGAUCUGGUUGUUUAAAAGUGUGUGCCACCUCCCUCCCUCCCCUUCCCUUUCCUCUUGCUCCUGCUUUUGCCACGUGACAUGCCUGCACCCCCUUCAUCUUCUGCCAUGUUUGUAAACUUCCUGAGGCCUCCCUAGAAGCAAGCAGAUGCCAGCACUAUGCUUCUUGUACAGCCUGAAGAACCAUGAGCAAAUUAAACUUCUUUUCUGUAUAAAUUGCCUAGCCUCAGGUAUUUAUAGCAACGCAAGAAUGAACUAACACAGUCCUUGUUUUUUAUUUUUCUUCUUCUUACUAUUUUUUUAAACUUGAGCUCUUUGGAAUGUCAUGGGAAAAUGGUAUUCAGAUUGCCUUUCUUAUGUCCAGGCUUCACGUGUACAUUCUGUCCUGAGACACAGGCCUGUGUCUGCUGUAUUCUCGGCACUGUUUUUGAUACCCCGUUAAAGGUGUAAUAAGAGACCAGAUUUCUUAAAAAUCCGGUUUUUGGCUUUGUGCGAUGUCUCACACCUGUAAUCCCAGCACUUUGGGAGGCGAGGGCAGGCAGAUCACUUGAGGUUAGGAGUUUGAAACCAGACUGGCCAACAUGGUGAAACCCCAUCUCUACUGAAAAUACAAAAAUUAGCCAGGCAUGGUGGUGCACGUCUGUAAUCCCAGGUACUCCGGAGGCUGAGGCUGGAGAAUCGCUUGAACCUGGGAGGGAGAGAUUGCGGUGAGCCAAGAUUGUGCCACUGCACUCCAGCCUGGGCAACAGAGUGAGACUCUGUCUCAUAAAAAAAAAAAAAAAAAAAAAAAAAAAACUUGAGUCUUUAUUGUGCCAGAUGAGGGGAGUUUUUCCAUCACCGUAUCUUUGCCCUGAGUGUUCCUGCAUCACAGUAUCCUCUAGGGCAGAAGGAUGGUGAUGGUGGGCCACGUGGGAGCUGAGCUGGCAAUAGAGAGCCUUCAGACAGAGCUGCUGGGAAUGGACCCAGAAAGACAAGGCCGGGUUACAUCCCAGCAGAGAUACAACCUGCUUUCCACCUCACGUCCACGUGUGCUGCCUUGUCUGUCUGGAAUGCUCUUUCUUCACAUCUUUACCUAUUAAAUGCCCAGUUAUUCUUCAAGUGUCAGGUUAAAUAUCGCUUCCUCAGAGAUCUUUUCUUGGAAGGUUUCCCUACUGCCCAUCAACUCUAAGCUCCUUUUAUCAUCUUUCUUUAGGGCCUCUACUUUCAUUAGUAGUAAUUUUAAUAAUAACAGUGGCUAUCACUUCUUUCCCAGGUGUCAGACAUUGUAUGCCUUGUAUGUACUGUAUGUAAGUUUCUCACUCAAUAUUUAUUGGUGUGAAUACUACCUGUAUUUUAGUAGUUAAGUAUGUGUUUUUUUCUCCUGUAAGAGACUGAAGUCUUUUUGAAAGCAAGAUUCCUUCUUGACUGGGCUUUGCACAUGACAUCCCCAGUGUCUUAUAUAACUUCUGACAGGUCACCCUAAUUUCUGAAAAGUAAGACCAUUCUGGGGUCUGGAGUGUUCCAAGUUAUACAGUUCAUUGUUUUUGGUGGUAGGUAAUAAAAAGUACUGGAAACAUUAAAAUGUGUUCUCACUAUCUAAUACUCAGCUUAGAUUAUGACUUCCCUAUGGUGCUUCGUUAUUUUUAUAGAUCUUUUUACCACAUUACUCUUAUGGUGCAAAUGAAACAUUUCCUUAACCAAUAAACUAAUUAUGUUUGAAAGCAAGACUUUUUUUUUUUUAAUUCAAAUCUGAGGGAUCUGUGAUUCACUUGUCUGCCUUCUCUUUUUCCAUGAUGGAGUAGUCCAUGGGGCAUGUGGAAUGCGUGAUUGUGCUUGUAAGUGGAUGGAAUAUUCCUGAAGGAUAGGCAAUAAACUAGUAAUGUAGUAAUGGUGGUUAUCUCUAGGGAAAGAAACUGGAUGGCAAGAGACAGGGAGGAGUGGGCACAUCCUCUUCACUCUUUAUCCUGUGGUACCUAUUGAAUGUCCUAUUUUCACAUGUAUUCACUAUUGAAAAGAUUAUUUCUUAAAAAAAGAAAAUACUCCCCAGUAGGAAGUUUUUACUUCCCCAUGAAUGUAUAAAGGAAGAAACCACAAAGAAUGUGGCUUUGUAACUGGUUUUGUCUACACUAUCUCCUAUUUUCAUUCAUUUGAAGAUUGUGUGGAAGUCCUCCUUUUUAGUCUCCCUUUGAUCAGGUACACUAAAAAUUUUCAAGGUGAUAUCACCUCGUAAAAUGAGUCCCGAAUCUUGGAAAGAGACAAUUUGAAAGACAGCUUGAGAGAAGGUUUCUCGCUUAAUGCAUGGACCAUCCCAAUUCUUGGCUGAAGCAUUGUGAAAUCUUCCACUGUUUAUAACACCUGUCAGAUAACAUUAGGCUUUCCUAUGUUCUUGGAAGAAUCUGUGGCAGUCUGUUUUUCCUUGAGAAUCAAAUGAGAAAAGAUGGUCAUUCAUGAAGACCAACAAAAGAGAAGAAUAAAGAAAAAGCAAGAAAAUGGAUUUCUACGUUGGGUUUGUUUUGUUUUGUUAGGGGUAUUUUCCCACCUAAGACUUUAAGUGAGAGAAAAGCUUUUCUAUUUUUGAAAGGGCAUGAGGGUUUGAAAUAAGGAAGAAUGGAUCUUGAAAGAAUUGAUUGUGUCUUAAAGGAUGGAAAUGCGCUUCGGAUUCCUACAGUGAGACAAGGAUUUUUUUUUUGUUUCUUUUCUCCUUAAUUUUUUUAAGCUGUCAACUAAGAUGACGUGUGUGUUUCAGACUGUUUAUGUGGGAUUAUGAGCAUGUUUAAUCUGUUCUUGUGCAUUCCCAAUAGAAACUGCGUGAGUGGUGUGAUCUUUUAAUAGAAUGUGUCUUGCAACUAACAAAUGUAUUUUGGUGCUAAAUUCUGGAUAAUUCCUAAGAAAUGUAAAUGUUGUCAAUAAAAGUUUUUGUUUUGAAAUA